rnacentral:rRNA from 1 species
UACGUAGGGCGCAAGCGUUGUCCGGAAUUAUUGGGCGUAAAGAGCUCGUAGGCGGCUUGUCACGUCGGGUGUGAAAGCCCGGGGCUUAACCCCGGGUCUGCAUUCGAUACGGGCUAGCUAGAGUGUGGUAGGGGAGAUCGGAAUUCCUGGUGUAGCGGUGAAAUGCGCAGAUAUCAGGAGGAACACCGGUGGCGAAGGCGGAUCUCUGGGCCUUACCUGACGCUGAGACGCGAAAGCUAGGGGAGCGAACAGG